AUAAUGGGUCAGCGACUUAUAUUCUGUAGCAAGGUUAACCGAAUAGGGGAGCCGAAGGGAAACCGAGUCUUAACUGGGCGUUAAGUUGCAGGGUAUAGACCCGAAACCCGGUGAUCUAGCCAUGGGCAGGUUGAAGGUUGGGUAACACUAACUGGAGGACCGAACCGACUAAUGUUGAAAAAUUAGCGGAUGACUUGUGGCUGGGGGUGAAAGGCCAAUCAAACCGGGAGAUAGCUGGUUCUCCCCGAAAGCUAUUUAGGUAGCGCCUCGUGAAUUCAUCUCCGGGGGUAGAGCACUGUUUCGGCAAGGGGGUCAUCCCGACUUACCAACCCGAUGCAAACUGCGAAUACCGGAGAAUGUUAUCACGGGAGACACACGGCGGGUGCUAACGUCCGUCGUGAAGAGGGAAACAACCCAGACCGCCAGCUAAGGUCCCAAAGUCAUGGUUAAGUGGGAAACGAUGUGGGAAGGCCCAGACAGCCAGGAUGUUGGCUUAGAAGCAGCCAUCAUUUAAAGAAAGCGUAAUAGCUCACUGGUCGAGUCGGCCUGCGCGGAAGAUGUAACGGGGCUAAACCAUGCACCGAAGCUGCGGCAGCGACGCUUAUGCGUUGUUGGG
rnacentral:rRNA from 1 species